UUAGAGUUUGAUCCUGGCUCAAGACGAACGCUGGCGGCGCGCCUAACACAUGCAAGUCGAACGAGAGAUGAGGAGCUUGCUCUUCAAAUCGAGUGGCGAACGGGUGAGUAACGCGUGAGGAACCUGCCUCAAAGAGGGGGACAACAGUUGGAAACGACUGCUAAUACCGCAUAAAGCCCACGGCUCGGCAUCGAGCAGAGGGAAAAGGAGCGAUCCGCUUUGAGAUGGCCUCGCGUCCGAUUAGCUAGUUGGUGAGGUAACGGCCCACCAAGGCAACGAUCGGUAGCCGGACUGAGAGGUUGAACGGCCACAUUGGGACUGAGACACGGCCCAGACUCCUGCGGGAGGCAGCAGUGGGGAAUAUUGCACAAUGGGGGGAACCCUGAUGCAGCGACGCCGCGUGGAGGAAGAAGGUCUUCGGAUUGUAAACUCCUGUUGUUGAGGAAGAUAAUGACGGUACUCAACAAGGAAGUGACGGCUAACUACGUGCCAGCAGCCGCGGUAAAACGUAGGUCACAAGCGUUGUCCGGAAUUACUGGGUGUAAAGGGAGCGCAGGCGGGAGAACAAGUUGGAAGUGAAAUCCAUGGGCUCAACCCAUGAACUGCUUUCAAAACUGUUUUUCUUGAGUAGUGCAGAGGUAGGCGGAAUUCCCGGUGUAGCGGUGGAAUGCGUAGAUAUCGGGAGGAACACCAGUGGCGAAGGCGGCCUACUGGGCACCAACUGACGCUGAGGCUCGAAAGUGUGGGUAGCAAACAGGAUUAGAUACCCUGGUAGUCCACACCGUAAACGAUGAUUACUAGGUGUUGGAGGAUUGACCCCUUCAGUGCCGCAGGUAACACAAUAAGUAAUCCACCUGGGGAGUACGACCGCAAGGUUGAAACUCAAAGGAAUUGACGGGGGCCCGCACAAGCAGUGGAGUAUGUGGUUUAAUUCGACGCAACGCGAAGAACCUUACCAAGUCUUGACAUCCUGCGACGCACAUAGAAAUAUGUGUUUCCUUCGGGACGCAGAGACAGGUGGUGCAUGGUUGUCGUCAGCUCGUGUCGUGAGAUGUUGGGUUAAGUCCCGCAACGAGCGCAACCCUUAUGGUCAGUUACUACGCAAGAGGACUCUGGCCAGACUGCCGUUGACAAAACGGAGGAAGGUGGGGAUGACGUCAAAUCAUCAUGCCCUUUAUGACUUGGGCUACACACGUACUACAAUGGCGUUAAACAAAGAGAAGCAAGACCGCGAGGUGGAGCAAAACUCAGAAACAACGUCCCAGUUCGGACUGCAGGCUGCAACUCGCCUGCACGAAGUCGGAAUUGCUAGUAAUCGUGGAUCAGCAUGCCACGGUGAAUACGUUCCCGGGCCUUGUAC
rnacentral:rRNA from 1 species